rnacentral:tRNA from 1 species
GGCCGGAUAGCUCAGUCGGUAGAGCAGAGGACUGAAAAUCCUUGUGUCGACAGUUCAAUUCUGUCUCUGGCCACCA